ACGCUGGCGGCAGGCCUAACACAUGCAAGUCGAGCGGUAGAGAGAAGCUUGCUUCUCUUGAGAGCGGCGGACGGGUGAGUAAUGCCUAGGAAUCUGCCUGGUAGUGGGGGAUAACGUUCGGAAACGGACGCUAAUACCGCAUACGUCCUACGGGAGAAAGCAGGGGACCUUCGGGCCUUGCGCUAUCAGAUGAGCCUAGGUCGGAUUAGCUAGUUGGUGGGGUAAUGGCUCACCAAGGCGACGAUCCGUAACUGGUCUGAGAGGAUGAUCAGUCACACUGGAACUGAGACACGGUCCAGACUCCUACGGGAGGCAGCAGUGGGGAAUAUUGGACAAUGGGCGAAAGCCUGAUCCAGCCAUGCCGCGUGUGUGAAGAAGGUCUUCGGAUUGUAAAGCACUUUAAGUUGGGAGGAAGGGCAGUUACCUAAUACGUGAUUGUUUUGACGUUACCGACAGAAUAAGCACCGGCUAACUCUGUGCCAGCAGCCGCGGUAAUACAGAGGGUGCAAGCGUUAAUCGGAAUUACUGGGCGUAAAGCGCGCGUAGGUGGUUCGUUAAGUUGGAUGUGAAAUCCCCGGGCUCAACCUGGGAACUGCAUUCAAAACUGACAAGCUAGAGUAUGGUAGAGGGUGGUGGAAUUUCCUGUGUAGCGGUGAAAUGCGUAGAUAUAGGAAGGAACACCAGUGGCGAAGGCGACCACCUGGACUGAUACUGACACUGAGGUGCGAAAGCGUGGGGAGCAAAC
rnacentral:rRNA from 1 species